CCAAUAGCGUAUAUUAAAGUUGUUGCAGUUCAAAAGCUCGUAGUUGAAUUUCGGGAUCAAUAUAUCGGUCGUGCCAUUGGUACGUACUGGUAUCAUUGGUUUCUCCUUUCUGACGAACCAUGAUGUCAUUAAUUUGGUGUUAUGGGAAGUUAGGACUGUUACUUUGAAAAAAUUAGAGUGUUUAAAGCAGGCUUUAGCUUGAAUACAUUAGCAUGGAAUAAUGAAAUAGGACGUUCGAACCUAUUUUGUUGGUUUCUAGGAUCAACGUAAUGAUUAAUAGGGAUAGUUGGGGGCAUUAGUAUUCAAUUGUCAGAGGUGAAAUUCUUGGAUUUAUUGAAGACUAACUACUGCGAAAGCAUUUGCCAAGGAUGUUUUCAUUAAUCAAGAACGAAAGUUAGGGGAUCGAAGACGAUCAGAUACCGUCGUAGUCUUAACCAUAAACUAUGCCGACUAGGGAUCGGAUGAUGUUAAUUUUUUAAUGACUCAUUCGGCGCCUUACG
rnacentral:rRNA from 1 species